GAUGAACGCUGGCGGCGUGCCUAAUACAUGCAAGUCGAGCGAACAGAUGAGGAGCUUGCUCCUCUGACGUUAGCGGCGGACGGGUGAGUAACACGUGGAUAACCUACCUAUAAGACUGGGAUAACUUCGGGAAACCGGAGCUAAUACCGGAUAAUAUAUUGAACCGCAUGGUUCAAUAGUGAAAGACGGUUUUGCUGUCACUUAUAGAUGGAUCCGCGCCGCAUUAGCUAGUUGGUAAGGUAACGGCUUACCAAGGCAACGAUGCGUAGCCGACCUGAGAGGGUGAUCGGCCACACUGGAACUGAGACACGGACCAGACGCCUACGGGAGGCAGCAGUAUGGAAUCUUCUGCAAUGGGCGAAAGCCUGACGGAGCAACGCCGCGUGAGUGAUGAAGGUCUUCGGAUCGUAAAACUCUGUUAUGAGGGAAGAACAAAUGUGUAAGUAACUAUGCACGUCUUGACGGUACCUAAUCAGAAAGCCACGGCUAACUACGUG
rnacentral:rRNA from 1 species